rnacentral:rRNA from 1 species
CCUACGGGAGGCAGCAGUAGGGAAUAUUGCUCAAUGGGGGAAACCCUGAAGCAGCAACGCCGCGUGGAGGAUGAAGGUUUUAGGAUUGUAAACUCCUUUUGUGAGAGAAGAUAAUGACGGUAUCUCACGAAUAAGCACCGGCUAACUCCGUGCCAGCAGCCGCGGUAAUACGGAGGGUGCAAGCGUUACUCGGAAUCACUGGGCGUAAAGAGUGCGCAGGCGGGCGUGUAAGUCAGAUGUGAAAUCCUGUAGCUUAACUACAGAACUGCAUUUGAAACUAUGAGUCUAGAGUGUGGGAGAGGUAGGUGGAAUUCUUGGUGUAGGGGUAAAAUGCGUAGAUAUCAAGAGGAAUACUCAUUGCGAAGGCGACCUACUGGAACAUUACUGACGCUCAUGCACGAAAGCGUGGGGAGCAAACAGGAUUAGAUACCCUUGUAGUC